rnacentral:rRNA from 1 species
UUAAGCGACUAAGCGUACACGGUGGAUGCCCUGGCAGUCAGAGGCGAUGAAGGACGUGCUAAUCUGCGAUAAGCGUCGGUAAGGUGAUAUGAACCGUUAUAACCGGCGAUUUCCGAAUGGGGAAACCCAGUGUGAUUCGUCACACUAUCAUUAACUGAAUCCAUAGGUUAAUGAGGCGAACCGGGGGAACUGAAACAUCUAAGUACCCCGAGGAAAAGAAAUCAACCGAGAUUCCCCCAGUAGCGGCGAGCGAACGGGGAGCAGCCAGAGCCUGAAUCAGUGUGUGUGUUAGUGGAAGCGUCUGGAAAGGCGCGCGAUACAGGGUGACAGCCCCGUACACAAAAAUGCACAUGCUGUGAGCUCGAUGAGUAGGGCGGGACACGUGGUAUCCUGUCUGAAUAUGGGGGGACCAUCCUCCAAGGCUAAAUACUCCUGACUGACCGAUAGUGAACCAGUACCGUGAGGGAAAGGCGAAAAGAACCCCGGCGAGGGGAGUGAAAAAGAACCUGAAACCGUGUACGUACAAGCAGUGGGAGCACAGAGCAAUCUGUGUGACUGCGUACCUUUUGUAUAAUGGGUCAGCGACUUAUAUUCUGUAGCAAGGUUAACCGAAUAGGGGAGCCGAAGGGAAACCGAGUCUUAACUGGGCGUUAAGUUGCAGGGUAUAGACCCGAAACCCGGUGAUCUAGCCAUGGGCAGGUUGAAGGUUGGGUAACACUAACUGGAGGACCGAACCGACUAAUGUUGAAAAAUUAGCGGAUGACUUGUGGCUGGGGGUGAAAGGCCAAUCAAACCGGGAGAUAGCUGGUUCUCCCCGAAAGCUAUUUAGGUAGCGCCUCGUGAAUUCAUCUCCGGGGGUAGAGCACUGUUUCGGCAAGGGGGUCAUCCCGACUUACCAACCCGAUGCAAACUGCGAAUACCGGAGAAUGUUAUCACGGGAGACACACGGCGGGUGCUAACGUCCGUCGUGAAGAGGGAAACAACCCAGACCGCCAGCUAAGGUCCCAAAGUCAUGGUUAAGAGGGAAACGAUGUGGGAAGGCCCAGACAGCCAGGAUGUUGGCUUAGAAGCAGCCAUCAUUUAAAGAAAGCGUAAUAGCUCACUGGUCGAGUCGGCCUGCGCGGAAGAUGUAACGGGGCUAAACCAUGCACCGAAGCUGCGGCAGCGACGCUGAUGCGUUGUUGGGUAGGGGAGCGUUCUGUAAGCCUGCGAAGGUGUGCUGUGAGGCAUGCUGGAGGUAUCAGAAGUGCGAAUGCUGACAUAAGUAACGAUAAAGCGGGUGAAAAGCCCGCUCGCCGGAAGACCAAGGGUUCCUGUCCAACGUUAAUCGGGGCAGGGUGAGUCGACCCCUAAGGCGAGGCCGAAAGGCGUAGUCGAUGGGAAACAGGUUAAUAUUCCUGUACUUGGUGUUACUGCGAAGGGGGGACGGAGAAGGCUAUGUUGGCCGGGCGACGGUUGUCCCGGUUUAAGCGUGUAGGCUGGUUUUCCAGGCAAAUCCGGAAAAUCAAGGCUGAGGCGUGAUGACGAGGCACUACGGUGCUGAAGCAACAAAUGCCCUGCUUCCAGGAAAAGCCUCUAAGCAUCAGGUAACAUCAAAUCGUACCCCAAACCGACACAGGUGGUCAGGUAGAGAAUACCAAGGCGCUUGAGAGAACUCGGGUGAAGGAACUAGGCAAAAUGGUGCCGUAACUUCGGGAGAAGGCACGCUGAUAUGUAGGUGAAGUCCCUCGCGGAUGGAGCUGAAAUCAGUCGAAGAUACCAGCUGGCUGCAACUGUUUAUUAAAAACACAGCACUGUGCAAACACGAAAGUGGACGUAUACGGUGUGACGCCUGCCCGGUGCCGGAAGGUUAAUUGAUGGGGUCAGCGCAAGCGAAGCUCUUGAUCGAAGCCCCGGUAAACGGCGGCCGUAACUAUAACGGUCCUAAGGUAGCGAAAUUCCUUGUCGGGUAAGUUCCGACCUGCACGAAUGGCGUAAUGAUGGCCAGGCUGUCUCCACCCGAGACUCAGUGAAAUUGAACUCGCUGUGAAGAUGCAGUGUACCCGCGGCAAGACGGAAAGACCCCGUGAACCUUUACUAUAGCUUGACACUGAACAUUGAGCCUUGAUGUGUAGGAUAGGUGGGAGGCUUUGAAGUGUGGACGCCAGUCUGCAUGGAGCCGGCCUUGAAAUACCACCCUUUAAUGUUUGAUGUUCUAACGUUGACCCGUAAUCCGGGUUGCGGACAGUGUCUGGUGGGUAGUUUGACUGGGGCGGUCUCCUCCUAAAGAGUAACGGAGGAGCACGAAGGUUGGCUAAUCCUGGUCGGACAUCAGGAGGUUAGUGCAAUGGCAUAAGCCAGCUUGACUGCGAGCGUGACGGCGCGAGCAGGUGCGAAAGCAGGUCAUAGUGAUCCGGUGGUUCUGAAUGGAAGGGCCAUCGCUCAACGGAUAAAAGGUACUCCGGGGAUAACAGGCUGAUACCGCCCAAGAGUUCAUAUCGACGGCGGUGUUUGGCACCUCGAUGUCGGCUCAUCACAUCCUGGGGCUGAAGUAGGUCCCAAGGGUAUGGCUGUUCGCCAUUUAAAGUGGUACGCGAGCUGGGUUUAGAACGUCGUGAGACAGUUCGGUCCCUAUCUGCCGUGGGCGCUGGAGAACUGAGGGGGGCUGCUCCUAGUACGAGAGGACCGGAGUGGACGCAUCACUGGUGUUCGGGUUGUCAUGCCAAUGGCACUGCCCGGUAGCUAAAUGCGGAAGAGAUAAGUGCUGAAAGCAUCUAAGCACGAAACUUGCCCCGAGAUGAGUUCUCCCUGACUCCUUGAGAGUCCUGAAGGAACGUUGAAGACGACGACGUUGAUAGGCCGGGUGUGUAAGCGCAGCGAUGCGUUGAGCUAACCGGUACUAAUGAACCGUGAGGCUUAACCUU